rnacentral:tRNA from 1 species
CUGGGCGGCCAGCCCGUAGGCGGCGGUGUGGUCACCGUCCACGGCGCCCCGGACCGGGGCGAGCAGCAGCCGGUACGGGGCCGGCCCGCUCAGG